rnacentral:lncRNA from 1 species
UUCUGCCAAUAUCAUCAGUUAUUCUGAAAUAAACGAGAAAGAAUAUAAGAAAUCGAAGACUGCUAAAGUGAAAAGAUUCAACUGCGCAUGCACAUAUGUACAUACAAUAUACAUACAUAUAUAUAUAUAUAUAUAUAUAUACAAUGCAUAGACGAUACAUACAAUAUAUACUCUCUCUUUGGUCAUGCUGCUUUUGUAGACUGCCAUAAUUGUCUGUCACCAUCCAAUUCCAUUAUUAUGAAUUUGAAUCGGGAGAUUGAGUCACAGUGAAUCUUUCAUUGGCUGAUUACACAACCAUGGACGUCAGCCCUCUGGAUGCCUUAUAGUUACCAUCUUGAUAGAGGUUCGUGAUCCUGGCUGUCGAUCUUCUGGGAUUCCUUCACUCCGCCUCAAUGUAAGAAGCAACAUUGGCUCAGCUGAGCUCUUCUGUCAAUUCUUCAUAAUCCACCAUGCUACAGUCCCUUGACUCUUGACUUCACUUCGUCGCUGGCAGGGUGACUCAACGGGUCCUGUACCUUGUCAAACGGCAGCCCAUUACUAAGCAGCACACAGUCAUCAUUCCAUGAGAACCGGUAUCUCGAUAGCCGAAAAUGUGGAUUUCCGUUAAAAAAUAUUAAAAUAAAAGGAAAGGGGAUAGGUUACGUCUCCGCCAUGUGCUCCCUGGGAACAAUGAAAACUGAAAUAAAGAUUAAAACAAGAAAAACAAACAGUGUGGAAGGGUCACUUACCGGAAAUGAAGAUGAGAGACGGCGCAGGAGAACCGGAAAACACCUAAUGACGUCAUCUCUGCCUCUU